AGAGUUUGAUCCUGGCUCAGGAUGAACGCUAGCGAUAGGCUUAACACAUGCAAGUCGAGGGGCAGCACAUGAGUGGUAACACGAUGGUGGCGACCGGCGCACGGGUGAGUAACACGUAUGCAACCUGCCCAUAACUGGGGGAUAACCCGUCGAAAGGCGGACUAAUACCGCAUAAUAACGCUGAUCCGCAUGGUGAUGCGUUUAAAGAUUUAUCGGUUAUGGAUGGGCAUGCGUUCCAUUAGAUUGUUGGUAGGGUAACGGCCUACCAAGUCUGCGAUGGAUAGGGGUUCUGAGAGGAAGGUCCCCCACACUGGUACUGAGACACGGACCAGACUCCUACGGGAGGCAGCAGUGAGGAAUAUUGGUCAAUGGGCGAGAGCCUGAACCAGCCAAAUCGCGUGAAGGAUGAAGGUAUUAUGUAUUGUAAACUUCUUUUGUCAGGGAAUAAAGUGCGGCACGUGUGCUGUUUUGUAUGUACCUGAAGAAUAAGGAUCGGCUAACCCCGUGCCAGCAGCCGCGGUAAUACGGAGGAUCCAAGCGUUAUCCGGAUUUAUUGGGUUUAAAGGGUGCGUAGGCGGACCUUUAAGUCAGCGGUGAAAGUUCCCGGCUAACCGGGGAAUUGCCGUUGAAACUAUUGGUCUUGAGUGUAGAUGAGGUGGGCGGAAUUCGUAGUGUAGCGGUGAAAUGCUUAGAUAUUACGAAGAACUCCAAUUGCGUAGGCAGCUCACUAGGCUACAACUGACGCUGAGGCACGAAGGUGCGGGGAUCAAACAGGAUUAGAUACCCUGGUAGUCCGCACAGUAAACGAUGAAUACUAACUGUUUGCGAUACACAGCAAGUGGUACAGUGAAAAACGUUAAGUAUUCCACCUGGGGAGUACGCCGGCAACGGUGAAACUCAAAGGAAUUGACGGGGGCCCGCACAAGCGGAGGAACAUGUGGUUUAAUUCGAUGAUACGCGAGGAACCUUACCCGGGCUUGAAUUGCAUUUGAGUAGUGUGGAAACAUGCUAGCCAGCAAUGGCAAAUGUGAAGGUGCUGCAUGGUUGUCGUCAGCUCGUGCCGUGAGGUGUCGGCUUAAGUGC
rnacentral:rRNA from 1 species